CACGAAUGAAGCUUUCUAGACAUCAUUCAGGGAACUACAGAGUAAUCCUACCAAACUUUCAACGGAUUCCAUAGUCUGAUGUGAUGUAUCUCAGAGAAUGUUAUAUAGGUUCUUCUCAAUCACUUAAAUUUUCAUUCACAUACAUACAUGUGUGCAUUCGGACCUAUUGCUUUCUUAAUUCUUUACUGGAGGGUUAGAUCCUGCCAUUUACUAGCAACCGAGUCUCUGACACCAUGAAACAAGUUCCUUUUUCAAAACUAAUUUGGAUGCCAGAAAAUUGGAAGAAUUACGUGUGUUCUUUCAAUUACGAAGAAAUAAGUAUAUAAGGUAUCGCUUCAUCACUUAACCAUUCAUGAAGGACGUUGUGUUGUACAUUAUUGUUUCCUCAUAAUUGUUCAUCUAUUCUUUUGAUUAAUCUAACAUAAUGUAUAUGCUUAUUUCUCAUA